rnacentral:tRNA from 1 species
GGUGGCUCACGGGUAGAGCACUUGCCUUGCAUGCAUGAGGCCCUGGGUUCGAUUCCUCAGCACCA